UGGGGAAUUUUGGACAAUGGGCGAAAGCCUGAUCCAGCAGUGCCGCGUGUGUGAAGAAGGCCUUCGGGUUGUAAAGCACUUUUGUCCGGAAAGAAAUCCUUGGCUCUAAUACAGUCGGGGGAUGACGGUACCGGAAGAAUAAGCACCGGCUAACUACGUGCCAGCAGCCGCGGUAAUACGUAGGGUGCAAGCGUUAAUCGGAAUUACUGGGCGUAAAGCGUGCGCAGGCGGUUUGCUAAGACCGAUGUGAAAUCCCCGGGCUCAACCUGGGAACUGCAUUGGUGACUGGCAGGCUAGAGUAUGGCAGAGGGGGGUAGAAUUCCACGUGUAGCAGUGAAAUGCGUAGAGAUGUGGAGGAAUACCGAUGGCGAAGGCAGCCCCCUGGGCCAAUACUGACGCUCAUGCACGAAAGCGUGGGGGAGCAAACAGGAUUAGAUACCCUGGUAGUCCACGCCCUAAACGAUGUCAACUAGUUGUUGGGGAUUCAUUUCCUUGUAACGUAGCUAACGCGUGAAGUUGACCGCCUGGGGAGUACGGUCGCAAGAUUAAAACUUAAAUGAAUUGACGGGGUCAUAGCUGUUUCCU
rnacentral:rRNA from 1 species